GAUGAAGAACGUAGCGAAAUGCGAUAAGUAAUGUGAAUUGCAGAAUUCAGUGAAUCAUCGAAUCUUUGAACGCACAUUGCGCCCGCCAGUAUUCUGGCGGGCAUGCCUGUUCGAGCGUCAUUUCAACCAUCAAGCCCCAGGCUUGUGUUGGGGACCUGCGGCUGCCGCAGGCCCUGAAAACCAGUGGCGGGCUCGCUGUCACACCGGGCGUAGUAGAUUUUAUCUCGCUCAGGGCGUGCUGAGGGUUCCGGCCGUUAAAAAGCCUUUUUUACCCAAGGUUGACCUCGGAUCAGGUAGGAAGACCCGCUGAACUUAAGCAUAUCAAUAAGCGGAGGA
rnacentral:misc_RNA from 1 species